rnacentral:tmRNA from 1 species
GGGGGCGACCUGGCUUCGACGUGGGUAGCAAAACCUGGGGUGCAUGCCGAGGUGUGGUGACCUCGUAAAACACGCUACAAAAUUAUAGUUGCCAACGACGACAACUACGCUCUAGCUGCUUAAUAACCAGCUCUGAGCCCUCGGCCUGAUGUGUGUUUGUGCGCUCAGUUUACCGGGGUCGACUCACACAAACUCGCGCUGAAAUAUGUCUAGGGUGGAUGCGCUAAAACUUUACUGGACUCGCCGAUAGUUUUCCCUGCCCGUUGGGUAGCUGCCGGCUAAAUUAAUAAACUGGAUAAGCAUGUAGAGCUACAGGCGGAGUGCUUACGGACGCGGGUUCGAUUCCCGCCGCCUCCACCA